rnacentral:rRNA from 1 species
GGCGGCGUGCUUAACACAUGCAAGUCGAACGGAAAGGCCCUGCUUUUGUGGGGUGCUCGAGUGGCGAACGGGUGAGUAACACGUGAGUAACCUGCCCUUGACUUUGGGAUAACUUCAGGAAACUGGGGCUAAUACCGGAUAGGAGCUCCUGCUGCAUGGUGGGGGUUGGAAAGUUUCGGCGGUUGGGGAUGGACUCGCGGCUUAUCAGCUUGUUGGUGGGGUAGUGGCUUACCAAGGCUUUGACGGGUAGCCGGCCUGAGAGGGUGACCGGCCACAUUGGGACUGAGAUACGGCCCAGACUCCUACGGGAGGCAGCAGUGGGGAAUAUUGCACAAUGGGCGGAAGCCUGAUGCAGCAACGCCGCGUGCGGGAUGACGGCCUUCGGGUUGUAAACCGCUUUCGCCUGUGACGAAGCGUGAGUGACGGUAAUGGGUAAAGAAGCACCGGCUAACUACGUGCCAGCAGCCGCGGUGAUACGUAGGGUGCGAGCGUUGUCCGGAUUUAUUGGGCGUAAAGGGCUCGUAGGUGGUUGAUCGCGUCGGAAGUGUAAUCUUGGGGCUUAACCCUGAGCGUGCUUUCGAUACGGGUUGACUUGAGGAAGGUAGGGGAGAAUGGAAUUCCUGGUGGAGCGGUGGAAUGCGCAGAUAUCAGGAGGAACACCAGUGGCGAAGGCGGUUCUCUGGGCCUUUCCUGACGCUGAGGAGCGAAAGCGUGGGGAGCGAACAGGCUUAGAUACCCUGGUAGUCCACGCUGUAAACGGUGGGUACUAGGUGUGGGGUCCAUUCCACGGGUUCCGUGCCGUAGCUAACGCUUUAAGUACCCCGCCUGGGGAGUACGGCCGCAAGGCUAAAACUCAAAGGAAUUGACGGGGCCCCGCACAAGCGGCGGAGCAUGCGGAUUAAUUCGAUGCAACGCGUAGAACCUUACCUGGGUUUGACAUGGAUCGGGAGUGCUCAGAGAUGGGUGUGCCUCUUUUGGGGUCGGUUCACAGGUGGUGCAUGGCUGUCGUCAGCUCGUGUCGUGAGAUGUUGGGUUAAGUCCCGCAACGAGCGCAACCCUUGUUCACUGUUGCCAGCACGUUAUGGUGGGGACUCAGUGGAGACCGCCGGGGUCAACUCGGAGGAAGGUGGGGAUGACGUCAAGUCAUCAUGCCCCUUAUGUCCAGGGCUUCACGCAUGCUACAAUGGCUGGUACAGAGAGUGGCGAGCCUGUGAGGGUGAGCGAAUCUCGGAAAGCCGGUCUCAGUUCGGAUUGGGGUCUGCAACUCGACCUCAUGAAGUCGGAGUCGCUAGUAAUCGCAGAUCAGCAACGCUGCGGUGAAUACGUUCCCGGGGCUUGUACACACCGCCCGUCAAGUCAUGAAAGUUGGUAACACCCGAAGCCGGUGGCCUAACCGUUGUGGGGGAGCCGUCGAAGGUGGGACUGGUGAUUAGGACUAAGUCAUAA